UACAGAGGGUGCGAGCGUUGUCCGGAAUCACUGGGCGUAAAGGGCGCGUAGGUGGUGGCUUAAGCGUGCGGUGAAAGCUCGGGGCUCAACUCCGAGUCGGCCGUGCGAACUGGGCUCACUGGAGCAUAGUAGAGGCAGGUGGAAUUCCGGGUGGAGUGGUGAAAUGCGUAGAGACCCGGAGGAACACCAGUGGCGAAGGCGGCUUCCUGGUCUGCGACUGACGCUGUGGCGCGAAAGCUAGGGGGAGCGAACGGG
rnacentral:rRNA from 1 species